UAAAUAAAUUAUUAUUAUUAUUUUAUUAUUUUAUUUAAAAUAACAAAAGUAAUUUUUAUGUUUUAUUAACAUAUGUGAAUAAAUAAAUAUUAUUAUAGAUUAUUAGUAUUGAAAAAGAUUUAAAUAGGUUUGUUUAAAGAAUAAUUAAUUUUUAGUACCUUGUGUAUCAGGGUUUAUUAAUUAAAAUUUAUUUACAGUAAGUUUCUCGAACUUAAAAGAGCUAUAUAUAUAUAAUUUUUAUUGUUGAAUAACUAUUAUAAAUAUAUAUAUAGAAGUGAAACAUUAUUCGAUUUUAAAUAUAUCUAGUUUUUAAAGAAAAAAAUUUAAUUUUAUUUAUAUUUAAUAUUAAGGUUAAUUUUUAAUUUAAUAUUAGUUAUAAAUUUAUAUUUCAGGGGAUGAGCUUUGAAGUAGAUUCAUAUAAAUAUUUAUUUUAAUAAUUUAGUAAGUAGAAUUAUAAGUUUUUAUCUUUGAUAGUGUUUUAUAACUAUCUAAAUUUAAAAUAUUAUUUUUAUUCAUUUUAUUUUAUCUAUUUAAAUUUAAAUUUUAAUUUUAAAUAUUUAGUAAAAAUGAUAAAAUUAGUAUAAUUAAAUUGUUAAAUUUUAUUUAAAUUUAAGGUUUAAUAAAGGAAUUCGGCAAAUGUAUUUUUCACCUGUUUAUCAAAAACAUGGCUUAUUGACUAUAAUUUUAGGUCUAACCUGCUCAAUGAAUUUUUAAAUAGCCGCAGUAUCUUAACUGUGCAAAGGUAGCAUAAUCAUUAGUUUUUUAAUUGAAAGCUGGAAUGAAAGGUUGGAUGAGAAAAUAGCUGUCUCUGUUAAAAUUUUUUAGAACUUUAUUUUUAAGUUAAAAAGCUUAAAUUUUUGUAAAAGACGAGAAGACCCUAUAGAGUUUUAUAUUUAUAUUUAGUAUAUUUUUUGGUAUUUUAAAAUUUACUGAAUUUAUAAUAUUUAGUUGGGGUGAUUGGAAAAUUAAAUAAACUUUUCUUUUAGGUUUAACAUUAAUUUAUGGUUAAUUGAUCCUUUUUAAAGAUUAUAAGAUAAAAUUACCUUAGGGAUAACAGCGUAAUUUUUUUUGAGAGUUCUUAUCGAAAAAAAAGAUUGCGACCUCGAUGUUGGAUUAAAAUUAAUUUUUGGUGUAGGAGCUAAAUAAAUUAGGUCUGUUCGACCUUUAAAAUUUUACAUGAUCUGAGUUCAAACCGGUGUAAGCC
rnacentral:rRNA from 1 species